CCUACGGGAGGCAGCAGUGGGGAAUAUUGGACAAUGGGCGAAAGCCUGAUCCAGCCAUGCCGCGUGUGUGAAGAAGGCCUUCGGGUUGUAAAGCACUUUCAGUGGGGAAGAAAGCCUUGGGGCUAAUACCCUCGAGGAAGGACAUCACCCACAGAAGAAGCACCGGCUAACUCCGUGCCAGCAGCCGCGGUAAUACGGAGGGUGCGAGCGUUAAUCGGAAUUACUGGGCGUAAAGCGCGCGUAGGCGGUCUGAUAAGCCGGUUGUGAAAGCCCCGGGCUCAACCUGGGAACGGCAUCCGGAACUGUCAGGCUAGAGUGCAGGAGAGGAAGGUAGAAUUCCCGGUGUAGCGGUGAAAUGCGUAGAGAUCGGGAGGAAUACCAGUGGCGAAGGCGGUCUUCUGGACUGACACUGACGCUGAGGUGCGAAAGCGUGGGUAGCAAACAGGAUUAGAUACCCGAGUAGUC
rnacentral:rRNA from 1 species